CCUACGGGAGGCAGCAGUGGGGAAUUUUGGACAAUGGGCGCAAGCCUGAUCCAGCCAUUCCGCGUGCAGGAUGAAGGCCCUCGGGUUGUAAACUGCUUUUGUACGGAACGAAACGCGCUGAGCUAAUACCUCGGCGUAAUGACGGUACCGUAAGAAUAAGCACCGGCUAACUACGUGCCAGCAGCCGCGGUAAU
rnacentral:rRNA from 1 species